rnacentral:rRNA from 1 species
UACGUAGGGUGCAAGCGUUGUCCGGAAUUAUUGGGCGUAAAGAGCGCGUAGGUGGCGGGUCACGUCGGGUGUGAAAGCCCGGGGCUUAACCCCGGGUCUGCAUUCGAUACGGGCCUGCUAGGGUCCGGCAGGGGAGACUGGAAUUCCUGGUGUAGCGGUGAAAUGCGCAGAUAUCAGGAGGAACACCAAUGGCGAAGGCAGCUCGCUAGGACGGUACUGACGCUGAGACGCGAAAGCGUGGGGAGCAAACAGG